GUCCACGCUGUAAACGAUGGGCACUAGGUGUCCGGGGUAUUGACCCCCUGGGUGCCGCAGCUAACGCAUUAAGUGCCCCGCCUGGGGAGUACGGUCGCAAGAUUAAAACUCAAAGGAAUUGACGGGGGCCCGCACAAGCGGUGGAGCAUGUGGUUCAAUUCGACGCAACGCGAAGAACCUUACCUGGGCUAGACAACGGUGGACCGUCCUAGAAAUAGGAUCUUCCCUUCGGGGACCGCCGGUUCAGGUGCUGCAUGGCUGUCGU
rnacentral:rRNA from 1 species